UACGUAGGGUGCGAGCGUUGUCCGGAUUUAUUGGGCGUAAAGAGCUCGUAGGCGGUUUGUCGCGUCGGCCGUGAAAUCUCCACGCUUAACGUGGAGCGUGCGGUCGAUACGGGCAGACUUGAGUUCGGCAGGGGAGACUGGAAUUCCUGGUGUAGCGGUGAAAUGCGCAGAUAUCAGGAGGAACACCGGUGGCGAAGGCGGGUCUCUGGGCCGAUACUGACGCUGAGGAGCGAAAGCGUGGGGAGCGAACAGG
rnacentral:rRNA from 1 species